GACCGCGCCGAGCGCCUUCCCGGCCCUGCGGCCCAGCGGCUUCGCUUCCCCAGCCUCGCCCGGGGCGGUGGCUGAUGCGUCCGCGCGGUGACCUGUGCGGGACCCGGGGAGGCUGAAGAAGCGAGUCCAGGCCCGAGCGCGGCGGCGAGCGGAUAACGGGGGAGGAGAUAGCGGGGCGGGCCCGGCCGGGGCGGGCUCUGGGACGCCGUCCCUGGCGGUGCCUGGAGGACAGAGGUGGGGAUGGCGAUGGUUCUGUUUUGUUGCUGCGUUGCCUGCGGGUGCAGAGGCGACGGAGGCCUCCUGACACUUUGGAACCUCGGCUGAAGUCCCUGGUCUCGCUCCAAGCCUCUUCAGGGAGAAGAAGAAGCCUAUCUGCUUUUGAUUUUCUUCCCCUCUUCCCCUCUUUCUUGGUGGUGAAUGACACUACCCUUCCCAUUAGUUCACCCGUACCUGGGGGAUAGUAGUUUCUUGGGCAAAGUGAUGUCCUUCCAGGAUAUGGCAUAGCAACCAGCUCGCCGCUGGUGACGGCGAAUUUUGAUGUAUGAGUGUUUGCCUUUAAGCCAUAAGAAAAGAGAGUGGGUCAGAACUUUCGGGAAUAAACCCACGCACACAUUAGCGUGUCACAAAGUAACGCUGUUUUGGGACUAUUGGGAAGGGUAGACAGCGCAACACGUUUCCCACCGUUUCUUUUGUAUCUUCUCAUGAAAGAAUGGUGUCUUGUAGCCUUCAACUCCCUUUGUAUCCAAAAAUGACCUUGACUUUCUAAUUCUCAUACGGUGGAUCAGCUAUGUGCCGUAACUUCCUGUCUAUGCAGUGCUGGGGAGUGAACCCAAAGCUUCGUGCAUACUAGGCAAACCGUGUUGCUAGCACCUCAUCCCUAGUGCUGGAUUCUAAUUUGGAAUCCUCAGUAAUUAAAGGAAGAAAAAACGUCUUAAAGUUUCUGUUUGUUCUUCAGACAAUAUCGAUAUUUCCAGACUGUGUUUAACCAUAUGGGAAUGUAAGUCAGAAUUCACGAAUGAACACAUUUUAGGCACUCUGGUAAGGUCAUCUUUCCACUUUCACUACUAGACAUGAUGGUUUCUUUUUGAGUGAUAUAGAAAUUUAUGUGUGUUGAGGUUUUUUUGGGGGUGGGGUGUGGUGAGACAGGGUUUCUCUGUGUAGCCUUAGCUGUCAGGGAACUCACUUUGUAGACCAGGCUGGCCUUGAACUCACAGAGAUCUGCCUGCCUUUUCCUCCCAAGGGCUGGGAUUAAAGGCAAAUGCCACCACCACCCAAUUUACGUGUUUUUAAUUUAUAGGAUUUACAUUUUGUAGAAAUGUUUCAUUUUACUUUUUUCUUUGGAUUUAAUGCUAUCACAAAAGUUUCUAAGUAUUUGUUAAAUGGAUAAAUUAUUUGUGGGAUAGAGAGUAGGUGAGCAAACAUGGCAGAACACAGCUAUAAUACACAUAGGUGAGGAACGGAAACAAGAGGAUUCCAAGCUCCCAGCCAGAGGAAAGCUACACAGCCAGACUGCAUCCCUCAGGUUAGACAGAGUCUAGACAGGAGGUUAGAAUCCGCUAUUGCAAAAUCACCAAUUUGUAUGCAAAGAGUCCACUACUAAAACCCUUUUAAGACAGAUAUGCAGUUGCAUGGACAGUGGAACAUUUUUAGAGGCAUUUUUGGUAAGAAAAAGCUUACUUUCUAAAUGAAAUGCCAUUCAUUUAGUGAAUCUCAUAAAUACGUGUUUAUCAGAUUUGGACCAUGUGUGGUACUGAACUCAGAAGUGAGUGUUGUGUGUGUGUGUGUGUGUGUGUGUGUGUGUGUGUGUGUGUGUGUAGGGUCAGGGAGAAACACUAUAGGAUACUUUUAAAUGUGCUUUGCUGUUUACUGUCAUUGAGGUAGAAUUAUACUUUCCUCACUGUAAAGUUGGGUUGCUAUUUACUAACCUUGUAGUCAUUGUUAAUGUUAGUGUUAGAUAAGCUACAAGCUACUGUUUGAAAAUCAGCUAUCACUGUGGGACUGAUAGGCCAUGGCCUAUCGUAGUGAAUACUGAAAGGGAAACUGAUAUUACUGUUGCUCUGUUGAAAUAGGUGCUAAUUCAUUUUAUCAUGGAGAAAGAAUUAAGGCUAUUUGGAAAUAGAUAAACUGGCCAGGAGGGUAUCAGGAUGCUGCUUCUGGCUCUGUAACCCCGAGUUAGCAGAUGCUUAGCUAUUCUUAGUUUCUUUGCUUUUUAGAUAAAGAGGCCAGAUUAGAUGAUCUCCAAGAUUUCUUUGAACUCUGAUGUUCUGAUUGAAGUUGUGAUUUGGUUUUUGUUUUGGGAAGCAGUAGGAUAAUCAACUUGAACAUCUAACCGCUAUACACAAAAUAUUUAAGACUGAGUAACUGGACGAAAUCCAAGUUAGUGCAGAACGGAGCAGUAGCCUGCUAGCAGUGUCAGGUUCUAGUCACUCAGAAUAACCAGUUAGGAGGCUGGGAGGAGGGAUACAGACCAUAUGUUGGUUUGCAGUGCAGCAGCUGCUUGUUUUAUAGUAGCUGGACUUCAGCAGAUCAGCUCAGUACUUCAAUAGAAGGAAAUCACAAACCCCCUUCUGCCAGCCUAUUGGUGGGGCGCCAUGUGUCAGGAAUCUGACAGCACUGGAUUGGAAUGCCUGAAUUACCUGGGCUCUCACUUUUCUCUCCACUUCCUCCUUUGGUUUCAAAACUGGUACAGCAUCUUCCCACUUCCCCCACCCUCAACCAACCACUAGCUACCACUGUGUGUGUGUGUGUGUGUGUGUGUGUGUGUGUGUGUGUGUGUGUGUGUGCGCGUGCGCGCACAUGUCUUUUAAUUGGUGCCACUUUAUUUUACAUUGUCUUUAUCCCUUUUCUUUUCUCAUGAUUUGAUCUGUUGAAUGCUACAGUGUACCUGACAUCUCACAGGCUUGCUUCCUAGUCUCCUUUUUCAGGCUCCAGUAGUGAUAUCUUUUUUUCAUUUGUACUUUUCAUCCUAUUAAGUAUUUAGAGGUAGAUUUGUUUAUGUGUAUAAACUAAUGUCUGCAGACAGGAUUUUUUCCUGUUAUGUUACUGGCUGGCAACUCUGUCAUCACACUCUUUUUUGCAGACAUUAGAUAGUAUGCCUUAGGGUGCCUUUUUUCUUUUUAGGAUUUUUUUUUUAUUUGGGUGUGGUAGAACCCACCUUUAAAUCCAGCACUUGGAAGUAUAGGCAGAUGGAUCUCUUGAGUUUGAGGCCAGCCUGGUCUAUAGAGUUCCAGAACAGCCAGAGCUACACAGAGAGACACUGGUUCAAAAAACAAACCAAAAAAAGCUUUAUUUUUAUUUUUUUUGUAUGUGUGUGAACAUGCUUGUGGAGGUCAGAGGAAGGGAACAGAGCUCCCUCUUGCUGGGCGGUUGUGAGCUGUCACACGUCAGUGCUCAGAACUGAUCAUGGGGCCUCUGGCAGACCAGCAAGUAUUCUCAACUGAGCUAGUUUUCCAAGCUCCUUUUUUAAAAUUGAAACAGAAAUGCUCUAAAUCAUAAUUGUACUUUUUAGAUUUUAAAGACAUAAUAAUGACUGAGUCUAUAUAAAAUGAAAAAUAGGAUUAUUGACCUUAUGGAGUGUAAUAAAUCCAAAGUUAAAAAUUAGCAGAACUGAAUUUUUUACUUUGCGGGGGAAAAUGUCAUUUUUCUAUCCUGUAUUUUUUUUUUCAAUCUUUGUUGUUAAGAUAGGGUCUCACGUCGUCCAGGCUGGUCUCUCACUGUGUCCUGUUGGAUGACCUUGAGUUGUAGAUUCUUCUGCCUCUCCUGAAGUACCUGGGUUACAGGUAUGGGCCCCAGGCUCAAGGUGUGGUUUAUUGAAAUUGUCAAUUUGACACAAUGUAGAGAGUUCCCCGAAAAGAGAGUCUUACUGAGGAACUGUCCAGAUUAGGCUGGCUUUGCUGGAUUGUCUUGACUAAGUUAAUUGAUGUAGGAAGACCCAGCCUGAAAGUGGGCGGCAGUGUACCUAAGAGUUUGGGUCCUUGACCUAAAAAUAAGCUGAGCACUAGGCAGGCAGGUGUGCGUCCAUUCUCUUGGCUCUGAUGUGCAUGCCACUAGUGGCUUCAAGUUCGGAUUUCUUGACUUCCCUCUUACAGCUGAUUGUAGCCUUGAAUCACAAGCUACUGUAAACCCUUUUUCUCCCCUAAGUUGUCUUCUUGUUAGGGCAUUUUAUCAAAGCACCAGAAACGAAACUAGAAUACCCAAAUUUUCAUCUUAAUGACUCGUGGGGAUUAUUUUAAAAGUAUUAUGAGUGAACUCUGGAGUACAUAGAUAGAAAACUGUAAGUGUGAGCAAUGAAUGAUUUUAGGAUGCUUGUAUUCAAAUCCCAGUGACCUGGGCAAACUCCUGAACUCUUGUGUUCCAGCUGUCUACACCAACACCAAGUUACAAUAUUUUGAGAUUAUUGUAAUAACUAAAUGAGCUCUAAUUUAUGCAGAGUUCUGUGUUUUGCCAUUGAUAAACAGAGUAGAUCUUAGCCAUUAGUGUAAUAAUAGACAGCAUCUCAAAUUGAGCAAUUGUGUGUGUGUGUGUGUUUGUUUGUGUGCACGUGUGUGUGCACGCACGUGCACGUGCGCAUGCAGGCACUAGCCUAGAGGUAACUGACUGAAUUACUACAGUAAGUAAUAGUCUCAAAGAUAGGUGGAGGGCUUUUAUGAUAAACCCUUUUGUUUUACUCUGUGGUCUCAAACAGUGUUUGUAGAACAUCUGGGUAUGACUUUGUCACAGAUUUGAAGCCACAGGGUGAUGAAGUGUAUGAAGUAACACAUUGUGAAACAGAAGACUGUAGAUUUUCAGAUAUUUCUGGAUGGACAAAGAUGAGGAUGAGUGAGAUGUGUGUGUGUGUGUGUGUGUGUGUGUGUGUGUGUGUGUGUGUGCGUGCUUGCGUGCGUGCGUGCGUGCGUGCGUUAAAUUAAAGGAAUGGAUUGUAGGCUGUUAGGGUUUGUUGCGGAUGCUGUGGUGGGGACAGCUAAGGUGUGUUAGAAAUAUAAGAAGGCUGAACGAGUAAAGGCACGCAGACAAUCUGGGUUCAAUCCCAGGGCCCACAUGGUGGAGGAAAGAGCUAACCCCUGAAAUUGUCCCCCACAUGAGGGCUGCGGCACCCCCUUCCAAAAUAACUGAAUGAAUGUAGCAAAAAAAUUUAAAGGUAUUUUAAAUGUAAUGUGCAUUACACAGACCUCCAAACGAUCUCAGUGUCAGUCACAAAGGUGUUUUACUGUUAAGAUGCAUAAGUUAUUGUUAAAGGCAUCUUGCCAUUGUAUUACUAGUGAGAUGUAUUACUAAUUUAAAUGUUGCAGGUGCAAAGUUUAAGGGUAAAUAAAUCAAGUAUCUUAAUUUUGAGUUUUGAGGAUGAUAUUUAUAAACAUAUGAUUAAGAAUCUCACUCAGUGGCUUAUUUAUCCAGUUCUGGGACAAUAUCUUCUUUGAGGGUUCUGUUAAAAGAGUUAUUAGUGAGUGAGCUGGAAGGAAGGUCAGUGAACCUGUAGCCUUCUGAGAAAGGAAGUAACUGCAAGGAAGGCAAUGCCUUGAAUUGCAAAGGGUUAAACCAUAUGUUUUUCUGUGCAGAAAAAUUGGUGCACUAAUUGCCAAAAUUAGUACCACCCAAAAGUAAAAAUUAAGAGAAAAAAAAACCACCUUACCAAAUGAAUUCUGCUUUCUUUAGAGUUGAUCCAUGCCAAAUAGAGUGUUUCUUUGGUUAGUCAGAGUACUCCCAGCGGACUUGGAGUAUCCCUCAUGUGUUGAUGUGGAGUUGAUGUGGAGGGCUGAGUGGAGCUGAAGGCUUCAGAAUGCCAAAUGGCUUAUGUUUUUAAUUGUUGUCACAUUCUAGGG